AAAUAUCUACUGAUUUAACCUCUUCCUUUUUAGUAUCCGCCAUUUAUCACCACUCCUCCACCAUACCUCCAGUAUCCUCAGUGUCUGGUUAGUGACUCCUUUAUUAUCUCAUUAUAGGCACAUUAAAACUGAAGCUAUUGAAGACUAAGUCAAGUUGUAUGGUAGUGUGUGUAUUAUAUCAUAUUAUACUGGCUCUAUUGUUUUAUGUAGGACAACCAGUCAGUAUUUCAAUGAUCCAUUCAUUCAUUAUUGGUACGUGUGUAUUAUUAUUAUGUACACUCUAUGUUUGUAGGUAAUAAAGUCCUGCCCUAAUCUUUAUACAUGAUAUUACUCAGGAUACUAUUUCAAGUGUCGAUAUUACUCAGUAUAAUGUUUCAAGUCUCAUCUAUUGUACAGUAAAUGUGUUGUUCUUGUAUUAUUAUCUAUUUUACAGGUUAUAUUCAUGUACUUGAUCCAUUCAGGAUAUUUUAAGUAUUG